ACUAAUUUGAUUUUCACAAAUACUGUUGUGUGUAUUCUGUAGGAAGAACAAGCCAAUUCUAAUCUGACCAAGUUUCGUAAGCUGCAGCAUGAGCUGGAUGAAGCAGAGGAGACGGCUGAUAUUGCAACAAGAUGAGAGCCAAGAGCCCGGGAUUCAGGAUCCAAGCUGGCUUGAGCAAGGGAUAACGAAGAAAUGACCAGCAACACAAUCAAAGGAGCCAAAGAAUCAUGGGACAUCUAGUUGGACACUUGUCGAAGUAAAUCAAACAAACAGACCCCCCCAGUCUCCAUUAAUAGCCUGCUCAAUGGUCAUGAUGCACAAAGGGUCAAGUCACUGACCUUAUGGUGAGCCGAGACGUCAAAGGGCCCAAACAGCUGAGAAUGACAAAAGUUGAACUUUUUGGAAGGUGUGAUCCUCUCCUCAGAUCCUCUCCCAGAGAAAACCAGAACUGCUGGGUAAAAUGACCCGUCACAUCUACUACAUUACUGAUUCUAAUUAGAAGAGUAUUUUCUGAUCUAUGUUCCCAUUUCUCCUUAUAGACGCUGCUCAUCACCAACAACCCCUAUGACUACACCUACAUCUCGCAAGGCGGAGGAACAGGCGUGUGCUAACCUGGGCAAGUUCUGUAAGCUGCAGCAUGAGCUGGACGAGGCAGAGGAGAGGCUGAUAUUGCUGAAUCUCAGGUCAACAAGCUGAGAGCCAAGAGCCGGGAUUCAGGAUCCAAGAAAGGACAUGAUGAAGAGUAAUUCUCCACUAUAAAGCUUUUGUUUACUGUGAAACCACAUUCAUGUACUGGUUCUGAUGAAGCAAUAAAAAC
rnacentral:lncRNA from 1 species